rnacentral:lncRNA from 1 species
UUGAUUGCGGCCACAGUACGUAGGCCGAGGAGGAAAUUUUCUAAAAUGCACCGAUUAUAUUGGUGACGUGGUGUCUUCAACCUGAUGAUAAAAAAAAAUAUAUUUUUUUUUUUUCAGAAGAAUGUUAUUGAUGAUACGGUGUAAGUGUGAUACAAUUAACUCUCUCGCUGAGAAGAGUUAUGUAUUUAUAUAAUUUAUAUUGAAGACAAUAAAAACUAAAAUUAUCAGAUUUUUUU